AUUGAACGCUGGCGGCGUGCUUAACACAUGCAAGUCGAGCGGCAGCGCGGGAGCAAUCCUGGCGGCGAGCGGCGAACGGGUGAGUAAUGCUUCGGAAUCUGCCCUUCAGUGGGGAAUAACCAGUCGAAAGACUGGCUAAUACCGCAUACGAACUGAGGUUGAAAGCAGGGGAUCGCAAGACCUUGCGCUGAUGGAUGAGCCGAAGUCGGAUUAGCUUGUUGGUGGGUAACGGCCUACCAAGGCGACGAUCCGUAGCUGGUCUGAGAGGACGAUCAGCCACACUGGGACUGAGACACGGCCCAGACUCCUACGGGAGGCAGCAGUGGGGAAUAUUGGACAAUGGGGGCAACCCUGAUCCAGCAAUGCCGCGUGUGUGAAGAAGGCCUGCGGGUUGUAAAGUGCUUUUUGGGAGGAUGAGGAAGGACAGUACUCCCAGAAUAAGUCACGGCUAACUACGUGCCAGCAGCCGCGGUAAA
rnacentral:rRNA from 1 species